CCCAUGUGGUAAUCUUCAAGCCAGAGUAACCAUACCGGUUUGUCUGUACUAAGUACUUACCCUGUGUUUGUUUUUUCCUGCUUCCCUACUAGUACCUGUGAGGUGUGGGCAGAUUCCGUGCAACGCUGGACCUCGACUACCCGGACUUCAUUCUGACAGUUUGUGAUUUUGGAUUUUCUGUACUCGACUGUUGGCUUGGCUCCUGGACCCAACUAAGACCCUAUCCCUGUGAGUACUCUGACCAGCCAUGGAUCGUUCCUUGCUGGACCACUUUUCUGGAUUGACAGACUCCUUGCCCCAUUGGAAGGCCCCACUCCAGUUCUGUAACAACCAGAGACGAAAGAUCCCGAGAAGCCUGCAAUCCUGCCUCUACUUUCCUGACCGGAGUUCCGGUGUAACCUUAAACAAGACCAGUAAAAUAAACCUUCUAACCUCCUUUGUUCUCCUGAGUGUGGUUGCAUGUGGGUUAAACAAAUCUUUAAAGAAAUGACAGAAUACUCAGGCCAACAAGACCCAGCAGACCCGCUCGGGAGAUAAGUAUCCGAUCAACAUCAGCUAAUUCAGUCGCAUGACUCCAUGCUCAGGUCUCUACAUGAUCAACUUGUAAUUUCCAAUCAGUGUCUGGAGCAAAUGGCUGGACAGAUGCAGGGGCUCCUACAAAAUUUGCAGCCUAGUUCAAGUUCGACUUCCCCUCCACCUGGCGGUGCUAUUGCACCUCUGGUUUCUCAGUCUACAACCUUUCGUGACAUCACUACCCCCAACCCGGAGAAGUUCUCUGGUGAGGUGGGUUGUGGCGGCUUCCUGCUGCAAUGUUUUUUAGUUUUCAGUCGAUCUCCCCACUCCUUUCCCCAGGAAGAAGCUAAAAUCUUGUUCAUUUUGGGCCUGCACACUGGAAAAGCUUUAAAAUUUGGCUGAAGCAAGAUUUCAGGACCCUUCCAGUUUCGGUUGCACACACAAGGAAUUUAUUGAUGAGUUCCGAUUAACUUUUUCUGAAGAGUCGGAUCGAUCAGGCUUAUCCCCUGGCUAUGGAGUCUAAAACAUUUGUUUUGCACACUGGCUGCAGCAUCUGGCUGGGACAACAGUGCUUUCAAGGCAGCAUUUUUUUUCAAGCCCUAAACAAGUCCUUAAAGGAUGAAUUGGCCACACGGGAUGAGCCUGAGUCGCUCAAUGAUUUUAUAGCCUUAGCAGUAAGAAUUGAUAACCGACUCAGGGAGAGAAGAAGGUUUCGGACAGAUGGGUCAUCGGUUGGGAGCGGUGCUAACACUACUGCACUAAGACCACUCAACCCACGUUAAUCUCUGCCUUUAUUUCCCCCUGAAUAUUUCCUGGCUUGUCUUUGGA